CCGUUCGACCCUGGCCGCAUCUUGAACGCCCGAUAUAUACAUGUUUCGUACUUCCCACGUCACUUCGGGCCCCACUGGUUUCCCCAAACCGAAUCAGCGAAUAUGGCAGAGUGCGCCAUGGCCGGAGGGGGGUUCUUGGAGGCGGCGCGGCCGACACGCUGCGGCCGCGGCCUCCCGCUAGCGGCUGAAUCAGCGGCUUGUCGGCCCGUUGGGGAAGCAGCGGCAGCAGGUGGUGAAGCGGCGGGAGCGGUGGCUGGUGGCGUUGGGGAUCGCCCUCGACGCCGUCUACAUGCUCAGCAUCUUCGACAUCUACUUCAAGAACCGCGUCGUCCACGGCAUGGAGCCCGUCCCCCAGCCCAUCUCUCCCCCCGCCAAGCGCCUCGUCCUCUUCGUCGCCGGCGGCAUGCGAACGGACAAAUUCUUCGAGCAAGAAUCCGAGGGGCAGCUCAGAGCGCCGUUCUUGAGGAGCGUGACGCAGUCGAGUCCCGGUCAUAUUUCCAUCACGGCGGGUGUCUAUGAGGAUCCUAGUGCAGUAACAAAAGUGUGGCCUUCUUUGGAUAGCCCGUGAUGAUUUACUUUCCGUUUCUUGAAAUAUUUUUGAGUUCGCAAUGCUGGAAGUUGGAUGGAAAUUGGUGAUAGCAUCAACCAUUUUGAGAAUAUGAGUGCCCAAGUAGUUUUUGUAUUGAUGCUUUUUGCCCUCCCGAAUAGAUAUGCAAGAGAUAUUGAAAAUCCAUCUCUGUAGUUGUCCUUAUAAAAAGCAGUGCAAUGUAUUUCUGAUUUCUAAUAUUGGGAAUAGUGGCAAAAGGGUUCUGAUUUCUUUUUGUUAAAGGUAUUUAAACAUAUCACCAGUCGAGGUUUUAUACAUGUCCUUUGGUAUACAUGGUCUAACUACUAUUUUCAUCUUGAUUUUAGUUUGGCUGUUUCUUUAUUCUAAGUGUAAAUCAGUUCUUAGAUUGCGAAACUUUUUUUGUUUCAUACUUACUUUAUAGUGUUACAAUUUUUUGUUUUAAGUUGUUUGUAAUGGAGCUUAUAUUUCUGAUCAGACCAUGAUGUUGUCUUGAUGGUGUUUAAAUGUUAGUAAUUGUAUUAUAUACUUAAUGAAAUAAUGAUGAGUUGUUGAAGCAACUUAAGUGCAAGGCUACAUUGUACUUGUUUAACUGAAUGCCAUGGCUAUAUAUGAAUAUGUUGAUGACUGCAAACUCUGUUGUUGAUGACUGCAAACUCUGAACAGAAAGAAACACAUGAGUCACAAUGUUCCAUUGUUCACCAUGCUAUAUAGUCAUACAUUUGAUGCAGACUCCCCUGGACGAGCCUAAGCAGAUUGGUAAGUCUCACCAAUAUAUGCACCCCCUUUUUAUUGUAAACUUGGACUUCGUAUUAUUGUAAAAACAAAUAUGAAAGAACACUUUUCGAUUAAAAAAAUCCAUGCUUAUCACUUCAUCAAACAUUCUGUUUGACAAAUUUUCCUGAUCGAAUCAAGAUUUAUGGGUUUGCCAUUCAUUCAUUUGAAAACAUGGCAUGGAGCACAUCUCUGUCAAAACUGUAAAUUUAAAACAUAUCUACAGACCAAUAUAAAAUAGGCAAAAUGGUCUAUGUUAAAACAACUAAAAAUGUUUAAUGUAAUAUGUUCUAGCUUAUAUUUAGUUGCUUAUUAACAAAAUUAUGCGUAUUUGUUUUGCAAUGUAUGCCAAAGUGUCAGCACCUCAGUAGCAAAAAAAAAGCUUCUAUUUAGGGUAACACACCUGCUUCAAAAACUUCUAGGAAACUCAAAAUCACACUUGCUUCCUGAGUGCUUCCUUAAAGUGCUUUCAAAAUAUUUGCUUCCUUGCACCCACACCCAUAUAGAUUCCUGCUCUUUCUCCUGAUUUUAGCAACUAAGCUUGGCGUGAUUUAGCAAAGUGCUUUUAACAUUGGCGACCUCUUUCUGUUAUACAACAUGUAAUUCCUUGAUCCUUGAAAUAAAUUCUACAACUUAUCCUUGUCUAGCUUCUCUACUUCACUAGCAUUCUUAUAAUCUGAUUAAUGCAGCACCUUUCUUUUAUGUUCUUUGUGUGGCACCCUGACUUUGCUAAGAACAAUACAACAACUUUAGUAUGCUAGCUCGACAAAAUCUCAACUCAAGCCUUGCGUAAUUGUUUCUAUAUUAUUACUUUUUUGGGUUAUGGUUUCUGUUCACUCUAUACAUUCAUUGAUCAUCCUCUACACUUUUAGCUGUUUUCUGUGUGGAUGAUAUAUCAUCACUGCUAAUUAUAACCAAAAGUGAUUGGGCUGCCCACUAUUGCAUCUCUCAAGGCAAUGAUUCAUUGACUCUUUGAGAUGGGAGACCUAGGGUAUCUUUGUAAUAACCGAGGACCUGACCGGAAAAAGCUAGCCAUAAGGUAUUGUAUGGGGUCUUCGGCCGUGCUUAAGUAUCCAAGACCUCUCCAAAACACAACUGAUGUGGGACUAAAAAUAUGACCAUGCUGGUCCUUAGGAUCUGUGUUGAUUAACUUCAACUUGAGGCAAUUCACCAAGUUGAUUAACUCUUAUUCAGCCUGAAUGUGCACUUCAAAAUCUCAUAAUAAUAUCAAUUUAUAAAUUUUUGAUAAUCUUUCCUUUGUUAGUACUUUUUGUCUUUUGAUUGCAAACCAUUUUUAUAUCCAUUCAUGUUACUGUAGCAUGGUUGGAGCUCUGCACUAUCAUUCUCAUGACUAAAUCACAUAAACAAUUAAUGAGGUCUGCCAACAUAUUUAUUCUUUUUAAUGUCUUCUUUUCUUGACUAGGGCAAGAAUUUUGUGCUAUUAUUUAUAUUAAUCUUGGAUGCGAUUUUUUAUAUCAAACCACCUCCAUUGUUGUCUAAGUAUAUUUAGAUGCGCGUUAGCUUGGAUAUCAGGAUAAUUGUUCUCCAUAACUAUUUUUUGCAUUUUUUUUCUUUUUUUCACCGGCCUAUUUCAGAAACCUAAAGUAAUCAUUUAUUACUUUAUCAUUUUUAAGAGUGACAUGCACUUGAUGCUACUAUAGCUUGAUUCAUCAUAUUGUACAAGAUAUUACCCUCCCUCUUUGAGUAUGUUUAUUCUGAUUAUUAGGUUGCAUAAAAGAUGUAUAUAGCUUUGCUUCAUGUGUAACUUCUUAGCAUGCUGAACUUUAUGGCUCCAUGAGUAGUAACAGUUUGAAGCAUGGUCUUCCAUGGCGCUCGGUAUAAGGUGUACCGUACCGAUAGAAAACUGCUACGAAACACACCUUCAAGUCGAUAUAAGCCCCAUACCGAGGUGCAUACCGGUCCGUACCGAGGCGUACUGAGAUGAAAAUUGACAAAAAUGGUUGGAAAGCUAUUUCGAUACAGGGGUAUAUCAUACCGUACUGAACCGAGCCGAACCGAUAAAGUUCUGAUAUUGUACCCUAUACCGAGAUUGCGGACCUUGGUUUGAAGUAGUGGUUCUAGUUGGGGAUUGGUACAUAGGAUAUUGAUACAUACUAUGCUGCAUCGAGACAUGGUCUGGUAGUUGGUGCUGGCACUAGAAAAGUGAUACCAACUACUGUAUGCUGGUACAGCAAAAUACCAAGGGAUGUAUCAAGCACCAGUUCCUAGUGGUACAAUAUGAUAUAUGCCUGGUGCAGACAGGUAUGAACUAGUAAUUCAACCCUUGCCCCCAAUGUACCUCUAAUAUUACUUCUCAUGGUUGUCUCCUAGCCUUUUGAAGGCUAGCAUUAUGCAGUUCUAUCAUCUUUCAUCGAGGCUUCUACAAGCUUGUUUCCCACUAAAAAUGUUUAUGAGUGUGGAAAGUAAGAUAAGAAAUAAAAGAAUCAAAAGCAUCAAAAGACCUUUGUUGAAUUAAGUCUUGCUUCCUUUCACUUGUUCAAUUUCAUUUUCCAGUUCAUCUAGCAUUAAAUAUAUUAUGUCCGGUAAAGACCUGACCAUAUUUAUUACCAAAGUUGUGAAAUUGAAUUGACAAACAUAUCCCUGUUGUACAUAUUGAGCACUGGAAAGAACAAUUUCAGGUGUAUAAGCUGCUCUAUUUUAUCUAAAUGCUCUAACAAAAUUGUUUUGGUAAUACGCUAAGUUAUUACUGAAUU